rnacentral:rRNA from 1 species
GGGUAAUCUGCCUCGUAGACUGGGAUAACAGGCCGAAAGGUUUGCUAAUACCGGAUGAGUUCAUGUUUAUGCAUAUAGGCAUGAAGAAAGGGGAAACCCGCUAUGAGAUGAGCCCGCGCCCCAUUAGCUAGUUGGUAGGGUAAAAGCCUACCAAGGCGACGAUGGGUAGCCGGCCUGAGAGGGUGGACGGCCACACUGGGACUGAGACACGGCCCAGACUCCUACGGGGGGCAGCAGUAGGGAAUUUUCGGCAAUGGGCGAAAGCCUGACCGAGCGACGCCGCGUGAGGGACGAAGGCCUUCGGGUUGUAAACCUCUGUC